rnacentral:tRNA from 1 species
GCCUUGGUAGUAUAGUGGUCACAACGCUCGUCUGGUAAUCAGGAAGGCGUGGGUUCAAUCCCAGCCGAGGUA